AUAGGCAGUUGGUUUUGGGGAUUCGCACUGUUGACCCGACGUCACAAUCGGUGGGGGUUAUAAAAAUCCCCUGCAUUUAUACUGCAGUCAUUCGCAGUGAGAAAAGCCAUAGACAAAGCAGUCACACCGUACAUAAUUGGAACAGAGACAGCCAACAAAAUGACGACCGUUUACAUUGGAUUCCUUCUCCUUGCCAUGCUUUUUUCAUCACAGGUCCAUGCGCAAAACACUACCACACAGUCCCUUCCUACGAAUGUGACCAAAGCUGACUUCACGAGUUCCUCGACGCUCAACGUCAGUACCACGAACGUCAGUACCACGAACGUCAGUACCACGAACGUCAGUACCACGAACGUCAGUACCACGAACGUCAGUACCACGAACGUCAGUACCACGAACGUCUCCAUUCCUCAAGGAGCCAGUGUGACCUUGCAGUCCAGUGUAUUCACGCUCCUCAUCCCUGUGGUGGGCUCGCUCCUACAGGGCUGCUUCUAGAGGGUUCAUCUGCACUGAACAAAAACCAAGACUAACAUCGGCAGUCUAGAUGUGCAAAUGUUUUACAAAGAGCACAUUCCUUCUUGGAAGGCAGCCAUUUGUGCACCUAAGCUGUGGGAUUCGGUGGCACGGGCAAAAACACUUUUCUUUGUGCUCGCACCUCCUGGCUGCUUCAAACCGUAGGCCUACACUCUGCUCACUGGACAAGCCCAUGGCUUGGCAACAAGCUGUCUCACUACAGAAUGGGACAUUUGUCCAUAUGCAUUAAUUCACAAAUGGGUAAGGUUUGGGAUAGGGUUUGGGAUAGGGUUAAGUCAUUUAAAGUGCCUGGCACUGGGAUUGAACACAUGACUAAUUCAUGGUAAUAGUGCUCACUGUUGCCCCUUGUGGCCAAUUUUGAAGUAAUCUCCUGACAUCCUGCUUACCUGGAAAGAUGUCUUAUUUUGCAGUGGUUCUUUAGUGACCUGGCUGUUGCCUCCAUGGAGGCAGGCCACGAGGCUCUAUUUAACUCUAUUCUUUGAUUCAAUAUUGUGUAUUUGCAGCCUGUAAUUCAUGGGGUUUCUGGAUACCAGGAGAAGCACAUUGGUGCCUGCUUUUCCUGGUAAAACACCCUGAAUUUGUCCGUUAUGGUGUUGAGACCGUUUCUUGACAUUUGUUUACAUGGCAGGUAAGGAUAAUUAACGUGGCCGGGUAGGUGACUUGGUGUGCCAGGUUAGGAGAAUGAUGUAAAGGGUUAGUUUUAGAUACUGUUGUCCCCAACGUGAACUACAUGGCCACGGACCAGUGGUGCGCGUCAAUGGGUGUAACUUGAUUUCAAGAAACGCCCCUACUCCUUUGCUUCACUUGGUCCCACUGUUCCUGAUUUCAGACAGCAGAGUUUAACUUGUGUACAUUUUGGCUGUGCCUGGGGAAAUCAGCAGCUGUUUGAGGUGCAUUGGAAAAUAACAGCCUAUAUUUGUCUGAUCUGUGGCACUUAUGUCCUUAACAGUGCUAUUCUUAAUCCUGCAACUGCAAUGGAUACUUUGUCAGAGGCUUGAUGUAGCCUACACUUGUGAUAAACUUAUUCAAUUUUAUAUUGUGAACAUGUGACUUAUGUAAAAGUCAGUGAUGCUUUUAGAUCUCUUUGUAUGUCAGGUUCAAUAAAGCUUUGAAAUGUG